rnacentral:rRNA from 1 species
ACUCCCUUGACGGUACUUAAUGAAUAAGCCCCGGCUAAUUAUGUGCCAGCAGCCGCGGUAAUACAUAAGGGGCGAGCGUUAUCCGGAAUUAUUGGGCGUAAAGGGUGCGUAGGCGGUUUAAUAAGUCUAUAGUUUAAUUUCAGUGCUUAACGCUGUUGUGCUAUAGAAACUGUUUUACUAGAGUGAGUUAGAGGCAAGCGGAAUUCCAUGUGUAGCGGUAAAAUGCGUAAAUAUAUGGAGGAACACCAGAGGCGUAGGCGGCUUGCUGGGACUUUACUGACGCUGAGGCACGAAAGCGUGGGGAGCAAACAGGAUUAGAUACCCUGGUAGUCCACGCCGUAAACGAUGAGUACUAAGUGUCGGGUAAAACCGGUACUGAAGUUAACACAUUAAGUACUCCGCCUGAGUAGURCGUACGCAAGUAUGAAACUUAAAGGAAUUGACGGGACUCCGCACAAGCGGUGGAUCAUGUUGUUUAAUUCGAAGAUACACGAAAAACCUUACCAGGUCUUGACAUUUUCUUGCGAAGUUAUAGAAAUAUAAUGGAGGUUAUCAGGAAAACAGGUGGUGCAUGGUUGUCGUCAGCUCGUGUCGUGAGAUGUUAGGUUAAGUCCUAAAACGAGCGCAACCCUUGUCGUUAAUUGCCAGCAUGUAAUGAUGGGGACUUUAACGAGACUGCCAAUGAAAAAUUGGAGGAAGGUGGGGAUUACGUCAAAUCAUCAUGCCCCUUAUGAUCUGGGCUACAAACGUGAUACAAUGGUUGAUACAAAGA